GAAAUCUUCUGCAAAUUGAAGGA
rnacentral:snRNA from 1 species